AACAUUGUCCUCAUUUGGGUGUCUAAUAUUGGUGUCAAUAACAACUCCAAGGCACUCUUUCUUUCUAUGUGUUUGAGUGUGUCUUGUUGGUCUUUGCUUCUAAUUUAGUAAAGUGUUCUCAUUAUAGAUUUAAGCAAUAUUGAGUUGUUGGAAGAAAUAGCUUAUACACUCAUGGAAUUGGGAUCCACAAAGGGUUCAACUACUCAACAUAAUAGCUAAUUCACUAGAGAUCAACCCUUUUUGAUGCU
rnacentral:lncRNA from 1 species